UAGAGGAGUUCCGCCUGUCUGACAGGCACCCAGACGCCUCCGCGCCUCUCCGACCGGUGGCCGCAGGCAGGCCGGGCCCCCGGGAUGCACCAGGCCUGCAGCCCCGACCCUACCCGGUCUGGAAUGGCCCAGUGACCUUGGGCCGGGCCCCUAGCCCGAGUCCAGGUGACUCAAUGGGGUCUAGAAUGGCCCUCUUCGCGGACUUGGGUGGGGUUCUGUAGAGCGCCUUGAAAUCAUGGCUGAGCUCGGAGCUGCUACCCGAGAGGCCCGUGCGCUGUGGACGACGAACCGCGGGUAGCAGUGCCCUGCUGCCCUCGCCCAGCAGCCCUGCGCGCAGACCAGCCGUUAGCUUAGAACCCCUGGCCGAGAGGCGCCCUGCCCGAGCUCGCCCCUCCCUGCACCCUGCUCCGCAGUAGUCCUGUGCUUUUGGUGCCUGAUGACCCUGCAAGGCCCCGGGACCGUUUCUCAGACCUCUCAUUCACCCACCUCACAGGCCACGAUCCCGGUCAGACCCUCGCGGCCUUCCAGCGCACUUCGCCUGAACCCUCCUUGCUGGGGCGCCUUGCCCACCAUCAGCAAGCCCCAGGCUCCUCUGUGUUACCCUUCCAGCCUCUCUCCGUUUGGAUUCAGCAUGUUCCAAGAGCCACAUGUGACUCCUGGCAACCAUAUUAGACAGCAACUUAUAAGAACAAAAGCAAAAUGAUGACAUUUUCAGAUUAACGAAGACAGUGAGAAUUUACUGCCAGCAGGAAUCACUAAAAGAAAUACUGAGGAAAGUUCUUUGGGCAGAAGAAAAUUUAUUCCAGAUGGAAAUAAAGAAAGGAUUGUGGGUGAUCGCCUCCCAUGCUCUGAGGUUAUGGAGGAGAUCUCGUCUGCAGAGGAGGAGAAAAAGGCGGAGGAAUACCUCACUUCAAAUGAGAUUAGGGAGGUGUGUAAAAUGUGGGAAACAGUGCAAAAUUUUGAAGAGCACCACCCAAAUAAGGCUGUAGCAGCGCGAGUGAUGAAUCUAAUGACAAUGCGAUGUCACAUUUCUGCAAAACCCUCAAAAGGAGGCUAGAGCAUGUGUCAUUGAAUAGGAUCCUUAUGAAAGUUGCACGAAAAGAUUCCAUUGAGCCAAUAGACAGCAGUGACUCCGUUAGUGACAGUGCGAGUCCUACACAACAACCCUCCUCUCUCAUCUCCCUCACACCAGCUGCAAAGGUUUUCAAAGGGAAACUCACUUUGAUAUACAAGUGCUUGGGAUUACA